UACGUAGGUGGCAAGCGUUGUCCGGAUUUACUGGGCGUAAAGAGCGCGCAGGCGGUUGAUUAAGUCGAAUGUGAAAGCCCCCGGCUCAACUGGGGAGGGUCAUUCGAUACUGAUCGACUUGAAGGCAGGAGAGAGAAGUGGAAUUCCCGGUGUAGUGGUGAAAUGCGUAGAUAUCAGGAGGAACACCGGUGGCGAAGGCGGGUCUCUGGGCCGAUACUGACGCUGAGGAGCGAAAGCGUGGGGAGCGAACAGG
rnacentral:rRNA from 1 species